GAUGAACGCUGGCGGCGUGCCUAAUACAUGCAAGUCGAGCGAACAGACGAGGAGCUUGCUCCUCUGACGUUAGCGGCGGACGGGUGAGUAACACGUGGAUAACCUACCUAUAAGACUGGGAUAACUUCGGGAAACCGGAGCUAAUACCGGAUAAUAUAUUGAACCGCAUGGUUCAAUAGUGAAAGACGGUUUUGCUGUCACUUAUAGAUGGAUCCGCGCCGCAUUAGCUAGUUGGUAAGGUAACGGCUUACCAAGGCAACGAUGCGUAGCCGACCUGAGAGGGUGAUCGGCCACACUGGAACUGAGACACGGUCCAGACUCUUACGGGAGGCAGCAGUAGGGAAUCUUCCGCAAUGGGCGAAAGCCUGACGGAGCAACGCCGCGUGAGUGAUGAAGGUCUUCGGAUCGUAAAACUCUGUUAUUAGGGAAGAACAAAUGUGUAAGUAACUUUGCACGUCUUGACGGUACCUAAUCAGAAAGCCACGGCUAACUACGUG
rnacentral:rRNA from 1 species